GACACAGGAGAGGAAAGAACUGAUGUCACUAUGAGGAAGUGAUCAGGAAGUUGAUGCUGUAUUCAUCUCUGAGACUGUCUCAUUUGUGAACGUGAGAGCAAGAACAGAGACUGAGAGAGACAGAGAAGCACGAUGGCUGCAUUCACAUGGAUUCAAAUGUCUUCUUUACUGAUACUGAUGCUUCAGUUUAAAGGAACAGCUGAGCAAUAUUCACCUGUUUACGCUGUCAGAGCUGAACAUGAUGUUACUCUGCCUUGUAAAAAUUUGAUACAUGAUCAGCAUAAAUGUAAAAGUACUACCUGGCUGUUCAGUGAUUCAGGAAGCACAACAAUAAUCUUUGAAAAUGGGCAGAUUCACAAAGAUACCCAGACUAAAUCAGACAGACUGAAUGUUAAAAAGAAAAACUGUUCUCUGGUUAUAAAGAAGGUCUCAGUUGAGGAUGUUGGUCGUUACACCUGCAGACAGUUCAACAAAUCAGGACAACAACAAGGUCCAGACAUUCAGGCUGAUCUGACUGUUAUCAGCAUCACUGAACAUGAGAACCAUGGCGACGUCAUGUUGAACUGCUCUGUAUUUGCCUAUGGACACUGUGGGCACAAAGUGGAGUGGCUGUAUGAGGAUGAAAAGAAAAUAUCAGACAUGAAGAUCUCGGCAGGUCACUGCACUUCUACUGUGACAUUUACAAGAUCUGACCUGUCCAAGUUCUCUAAGCUGUUAAAGUGUCAUGUAACAGAUACUUCCACCAAAAAUGUGACAAUCUUUCCCUUCAAACCUCAAAAGUCUUCGGAUAAAGAUGCAAAUAAGACCAAAUCCACAAUGGCAUCAACUUCCACCACAACAGCAAAUUUAAUGCCAACACUGAAAACAUUAUCAUCAACAAUAUCAUCAAUAAAAUCAUCAAAAUUGUCGACAGCAGGAUCAUUAACAUCAAUGAACGUAAAGACGUCAGCAGUGACACCGGUGUAUCAGAAAGCAUCUGAAAAUCAGUUAUGGUUUAUUAUUGUUCCUGUGUGAUUAGCAGGACUGUUAAUAACUGCUGUCACCAGAUGGAAGAAAAAUACAGAAAACCAGAAACUACUGUCUGACAGCACUGAUGAAGCUGAGACCUAUGUGUUAUACGUCACCGUCAGCUUUACCAAGAAGGCCCAAAACAAAGCCCAGGCAUGUUGUGGUGAUGAUGACGGAGACACUGUGACCUACAGCAUUGUGAAAGCUUCCUCUUCUUCUGCUGGAGGUUUUACAGAUUCAAGCAACCUUUAUUCAAUAAACUAAAGAAAGAGAUUAAAUAGUAUGUUGCACAUAUUUUAUUUAUUUUUUUUGGCAGUGAGGUAGUUCAGUUAGAUACAUUGUAGAUUUUAUUCUUUACACAGUGUUCUCAUAUUCCUAGUAUAUAGAAAUUAUUUACAAGGUGUAUAUGGAUGUCCUUAAUACUAGGAAUGUUAUUUUUCUUUGCACAUGCUUUGUUACUCUGUUUUCCAAUAUUUAGGACAAACGACAUCCAUCACACUUUGGAUGGAGCUGCUCUAUUUCUAGAAAUUGUUGCAGUCUUACAUGCUUCUCUGCAGCUGCUCUCCUCCUAUAAUACCUCCAAACCCCAUCCCCAUUCAGACUGUCUGAUCUCAGGCCACCAAAAAAAAAAAAAAACCCCACCAGCAAACUACUAGCAAGCUUAAUGGAUAUUUUAGUCAAAAUCAAUCAGAAUCCCCAAGUAACUGUCAGAAUCCUCCAAGUACAGGCUGAGGAGGAGCAGCAACAAUCUCUCACCAGUUUUUUUUUUUUAUCAACCAUUGCCAAGACAUGUUGUAAUUCAUUUGAAGGCCAAACUCUUCAGCUUUGAUGACCUUAAUUGGAAAACUAAAAAAAAAAACUGUUUCAUUUGUUGUUGUCUAUCAUCCACCUGGCCCUUACUCAUAAAUUCUAUUGGAUUUCUCUGACGUUUUAUCUAAUUUAAUGGUCAAAUAAAAUAAUUACCUCUGCAAGAAGAAUAUGUUUUUGGUAACAUUUGCAUGCAGACAUCCAUGUCAUUCUGUCUGUAAACAUGGUAAACACAAUAUCUUGAGAGGUUUUUGUAUGAAUUCUUAGAAAACGUUUCAAAAUGUAGACUUAGGGAAUGUUAACAAUCAAUCAAAUUUUCGGCUCACAUAUGAGAACACACAGCAGUACAAGUUGACUUCAUCAUUGUUCUUAUGUUCAGUCACUGGCGGAAACAGAGAGGAUUUAGGGUAAUAAUAAAUACAUCGCAUUAAUAUGCACUGUUGUAAUGUGCUCACACACACUACUGAAACACGCUCACACACACUACUGAAACCAAGGCAUUUAAGCUGAACAGGAAGUUAUUUCCUGACAAGGAAACUGAAGGAAAAAGUGGUACAUUUCUACGUCCACUCAGCAACCUGUUAAUAGCCUAAGUGAAGCAGCAGCAUUACUUAACAAUAUAUUAGCUUCAGCAGAGACCAUCACAACUCUGUCACAUGUGACAGCUGUGGGGCAGCAGCCUGUUGCAAAACACAGUCAAGCUAGCCACACCGCCAGCUGCACCUACAAUCCAGUUGCACUUUUCUUAUUACGGUACGGGUGCCGACUGGCUUAGAAACACGAGUGUCUUUGGGAUACUGACAUUUUUUACUAUUUUACUUCU